rnacentral:rRNA from 1 species
GACGAACGCUGGCGGCGUGCUUAACACAUGCAAGUCGAGCGGUAAGGCCCUUUCGGGGGUACGACGAGCGGCGAACGGGUGAGUAACACGUGGGUGACCUGCCCUCAGCUCUGGGAUAAGCCUGGGAAACUGGGUCUAAUACUGGAUAUGACUCCACGGUGCAUGUCGUGGGGUGGAAAGCCUUGUGCGGCUGAGGAUGGGCCCGCGGCCUAUCAGCUUGUUGGUGGGGUGANGGCCCUACCAAGGCGACGACGGGUAGCCGGCCUGAGAGGGCGACCGGCCACACUGGGACUGAGACACGGCCCAGACUCCUACGGGAGGCAGCAGUGGGGAAUCUUGCGCAAUGGGCGAAAGCCUGACGCAGCGACGCCGCGUGAGGGAUGACGGCC